AUGGGGAGCGGGAGCGGAGCAGUCGUGUGGAGGGAGAUAGCGUCGUCGCCUCCGCCGGGAUUCGGCCGGCCGACGGGGAGUGCGGGCGGAACAGCCUCGGGGAGCGAGAGGCCGUCACCGGCCCCGGGAUUCGGCGCCGCGCGGCCGUCAUCUGCGCAGUCCGGAGGUUCCAAGUCUGCUGCUCGUACCGAUAUGUUGGUCGACGUAGGAAUGGAAGCUGGCUCUGAUAAUCUUGAGGUUCCACCACAUGUUGGGAAUGAAAGUGCAUCCCCCACGAAAGGCACAAAGAGGAAAUUUGUUGUUGAUGCAACCGAAGGUGCAUCACCAGGUGUUAAUACAAGUAACACUGGGCAGCACCAGCAUUCCCGCAGAAAAGGUAAGGGUCCUGGGAAACAUGCAAAGCUGGAAGACAACAAAGGUGCUACUAAGUUGGGGAGAGAUCAGACACCAAUCGGCGUAUUUGAAGAUGAAUGUGUUUUCUGCCAUUCAUUUAGAACCAGUGAGCCGUUCCAUGGUCCGAUGGUACUGUAUCGCAAUAGAAGGAUUGUGCCCAGUGACGAGGGCAACCCUACCAACGCCAUCUAUAUCCACGAGAAAUGCAUGGUUUGGGCCCCAAAAGUGGAAUCCAAUGGUGAUACUUUUAAGAAUGUGGAGAGUGAAAUCAAUCGUUCUAAAAGAUUGAGAUGCAGAAGAUGCAAACUCCGGGGAGCAGCGCUUGGUUGUUAUGACAACUCCUGCAGAAAAAGUUAUCAUGUCCCAUGUGCAAUGAUGAUACCAGAAUGCCGCUGGGAUCCUGAGAAUCACCGUGUUUGGUGCCCCAAGCAUGCGCCACCUGAUGAGCUGAGCUCACCAACAAUGGAGAGUGACACUCUUUCCCCCGUCCUUCAAAAUCAUUCCAGCCAAUGUCCAGCUAAAGAAAUUUCGGUCGAUUACCAAAUGGAAGAUGAACACAUUAAUCCAUUACCGUGCGAUGAGAUGAGCUCACCAGUAAUUGAAAGCGACAUUAAUUCCGCUGUCCUUCAGAAUCAUUCCAGCCAAUGUCCAACUAAAGAAAUUUCGGUCGAUUGCCAAAUGGAAGAGGAACACAUUAAUCCAUUACCGGGCGAUGAGAUGAGUUCACCAAUAAUUGAAACUGACAUUACUUCCCCUGUCCUUCAGAAUCAUUCCAGCCAAUGUCCAGCUAAAGAAAUUUCGGUCGAUUGCCAAAUGGAAGAUGAACACAUUAAUCCAUUACCGGGCGAUGAGAUGAGCUCACCAAUAAUUGAAACUGACAUUACUUCCUCUGUCCUUCAGAAUCAUUCCAGCCAAUGUCCAGCUAAAGAAAUUUCGGUUGAUUGCCAAAUGGAAGAUGAACACAUUAAUCCAUUACCGGGCGAUGAGAUGAGCUCACCAAUAAUUGAAACUGACAUUACUUCCGCUGUCCUUCAGAAUCAUUCCAGCCAAUGUCCAGCUAAAGAAAUUUCUGGCGAUUGCCAAAUGGAAAAUGAACACAUUAGUCCACUCGCCACAUCAAGUUCUUCUUUGCCUGGACAAGUGCCUGGCCAAUAUUUAGUUAAAGGAGGAACAUCUGUCCUUGAUAGAAGGGAAGAUCUGCAAGUAGAUCAGCUGAACACCUCGAGUUCUUCCUUGCCUCAGGGCCAAUGUUCGGACAGAGGAAGAAUUUCUGCUAAUCACCGGAGAGAAGAAAAGCUAGUAAAUCAGUCUAGCACCCCUGUGGAUCAAUGGGUUUUGCUCGGUAUAUCUUUAAGUGCAUCAGAAAAGGAUUCCUUGAAGGAAUUUGCAUCCUUAACCAGUUCAACCUUGGCUGAGGAAUGGGACAAAACUGUGACCCAUGUAAUUGUGGGCAGAAACGCCGGUGAUGCAUGUGGCAGAUCAUAUGAGGUCCUGAUGGCGAUACUCUCUGGGAAAUGGGUUGUCACAGCCGGAUGGAUUGUGGAUUGCAUGGUGGAACCGAUUCCAGAUCUAAAAACUUGCUUGGAAAAGCCGAUCCCAGGCCCGGAAAUUUCUUACGAGAUGAAUUUCUGUGAUGGCUCGUGCACAUCAGGUUAUGGACCAACAAAAGGAAGAGCUAGAGCUGCUGAACGGGCACCAAAACUGUUCUCUGGACUGCAUUUCUGCCUCAGCGCCUACAUAGACCCUGAAGACAGAGAAACCAUCAGAAGACUCGUAGCAGCUGGUGGAGGGCAAGUACUGGAGGGAAUCAGCCCAGACCGGUUGCACGAGAAUCUGAAUAAAAAUCCAGCGGAAGUGUACUUCAUCUACGACAGCGGCCCUCCAAGGAAGAUCACUUCGGAUUUCGAUCUUAUCCUUGGCAAGGAGAUUCAGGAGAGCAUCGAGUACGCGAAAUCGGGAGUGCAGGUGAUCAGCCACACGAGGCUGCUCGAUGCUAUCCUGUGCUAUGAUGCGCGGAUCCUGGAAAGGAGGCUUCAGCAAGACGUGUAA
rnacentral:rRNA from 1 species